GAAGAGGGGCCGGGGCUGGGGAGCGAAGAGCUCGCACCAGGGCGGGGAUGGCGGCUCCAGGGUCCAAUUUCAGAAGCUUCAGCAGCUGCGCCUCACACAGUACCAUGGCGGGUCCUUACCGAACGUGAGCCAGCUGCGGAGCAGCGCGGCGGAGUUCCAGGAGUCACGAUAACAUCUGUGGAAGAUUCUACACAGGCCUUGAUGCCAGAUACCGAAGUGGUUUCCCUGUUCAAAGGCAACAGUCUGUGCCUCAAGGAACUCCCCGGGCAUGGAAACUGGCUGCCUGGACAACAGCUCGCUAACGAACGCCUAGGCCCUUCUCCGUCUGUACCCCCAGCCUCUCGGGGAUGUGACUGCAGAAAGCGCUAUGCCCCCCGCCCUGGUUUCUCCUGCAGCCUCUGGGGGCGGGGAAGGGGGGGGUUGUCGCCGUGGUAACCACCUGCUUUUACGCUGGUUUGCUGGGGUGCCGGGGAAAACCCCUCCCCAUAGACAGUAAUCAGGGAGAAGAGUACAGUCAGAGUCCCUGCCUCCUGUUGUCCUCACAUCAGCCCUCCGACACAAGUAUUGUUACCCCCCCUUCACUGCUACUUUAACAGUCAUGUGCCCAAGGUCACACAAAAGUUCAGUGACAGAGUCAGGAUUCAAACCCAGAUUUAUCUUUCCUAGGCUUUUGCUCGUAUUUUGCACAUUAAACAAAUAGACACACACAAAACCAACUCGUUGUCAGUUAGGAAGAGUGUCUUCUUCCUUUUUCUCAGCCUGGAUAGAUGCCUCUUUCUGGUCACCGGGGGCCCUCAGAUGUGCAGUUCAGUGUGAACUUUGCUUGGCUCCUUUUAGAUUAUGCUAUGCUCUGUUUGUUCACUCCCUCAGCCACCUGAGACGUCUUUUUGCUACUUUAAUCCUACUUUCAGUCCAUGCCUGACUAUUGAGGAAAUCUCUCCUUAGGUUAGUCUUACCCCCCCCGCCCCCGAACUAGGAUUUUCACCCUGGAACGUGGUCAGGAGAGGCCAGCCCUGUGACGCUAAAGCCAGGGUGGAGGAAGGGGAUCGGUUAGCAAAGGAAGGAGCAGGCCAGUGGGGGUCCAAAAGGUUAGAGUCAGUGGGGGGCUGUCCACAAGAGCAGACAUGGCCACACAGGCUGUGAUUCGUCCUCCACUCUUGAGACCAUGGUUGCCUGUGGCCUCAAGAGCUCGGGUACCUGAUGUUGAAUUAGAGAUUGUGUUACGUCUACUCGGUAUCUCUCAUCAGCCAUCUUGUCAUUCAUGAAAUUGCCCAAGAGAUGCUUUCAACUAGUCUGUGCCUGUUCAGUCUCUAAGUAGUUUUGGGCGUUAAUUUAGAAUUAAUUAAGUUAGGGCUAUCAUUUAAAAGGUUUGAAGCAGCUUGUAAGUUAAAAUGUAACUCAAAACAAAGCAGAGAGAAUAUUAAAGGGGAAACAUUUAUGGGAAGCAAAACAGCCUCGCUUGGGCUUCUGCCAAUAAUGGACAGCUCUAAUUUGGAACAGAGAUCUUUCCAGGACUACUUGUCCUGGCAGAUGAAUCAGAAUUCUUAGAACCAGAAUAGACCCUGUAGCUCUUUUGAUGUAAUACUCUCACUUUAUAGGUCAGAAAAUUGAAAGCAAGAAAAAUUAGGUAAUUAGUUUAAUGUUACUCAGCUAGCAUAGUAAGUAGCUGGUGCUAGAAUCAAAAUCUGCUUACUUCGUGUGGAGAUUUUCAACCGCUUCAUACCAUUUGACCAACACAUUUGCACUUUGUUUCUGAAUGCAAUGGAAAAGGAAAUUUCCUCCCUCCCUUCCUUCUUUCCUUCCUUCCUUCCAGACAAGGUUACCACUCUUAGUAUAAGUGCUACUGCUGCUUUUUCCACUCCCACUGUUGGUGGAAAUGUCCUGAAUCGGCACCAGGCACUAUGGUUCAGUGCUUUGUACACAUUAUGUAAUUUUCCUGGUGCUCCCAGAGGUAAGUAGUUACUGCCUCUAUUUAUGGGGGAUACAAUGGAGGCUAAGAAGGAUUUAGCAACUUCCUUAGAUCACACAGCCAGACUAGAACCAGAUUUCAAGUCUGGGCUCUUUGAUUCUGGAGUCCACGCUAGUAACUACUAGCUAUCCUUCUGGCAGGUUUUUUUUUGGUUGUUUUUGUUGUUCUUUUGUUGAAUUACUAGAACAGAACUAUUUUCUCUGAAUGCAGAAGUUGAAACCUGUUGAGGAAAUUCAACCAGCGUAUUUCUUGAAGAAAAAAGAAAUCACUUCCUGAUUUCUUCAUUUGUUAGCCCCAUGACAUCAUUAGGGCUGGUACUAGCUGCGCUCACCCUUGAAGUGGGAAUAGUUCUGUAAAAACUCCAGAAGCUGCUCACAGGAUCAGGCACUCGACCGUCCUCUUUGGUUCUGUCUGCUCUGCACCUGGCCUUUAAGCCUGGGGAGCUCACCAUCCCAGCCAUUGGGGAAAGACAGGCUGUGAAGUCCCCAAGACUUGUCUCUGCAGUUACUGUGGACGUUCUUUUCUUGAUUCUGAUCUGCUUUUACUAUAAACCCUGUCUUGCUCAUUGUCAGAACCAUGGCUCUGAAAUGGCAGCUCUCAAGCUAUCUCUGAGCCUUUGGACUUGUUAGUAUUUGCCAUGGGUAGAAAAGUCAGGAACUAGGAAGUUCACCCAGCAAAGAAAUCUUUGGGAAUACGUUUGUCGUCGCUAUAAGCCAUGACACAUGGAUUACAACAGUAAUGAGACAUCAGAGGCAAGAGUGGUUAGCUCUUGGUAGAGUUUGGUAGCCCUUAGUGUAUGGGCACAGGAUUUAGGCAGCUUGGAUUCAAAGCCUCCUCCACCCUUCAUGAGCUUCACAUUCAGGAACAUAAGAUGAGGAUAAUAAUAGUACCAUUUCACAGGGCUGUUGGCGAUGCUUCCAUGGGAUGAUGGAUAUGAAGUGCCUGGUACUGUACCUGGAACACUGUAGAUGCCAAUAAAGGUUAAUUAUUAUCCAAGUGACAA